GAAAUGCGAUAAGUAAUGUGAAUUGCAGAAUUCAGUGAAUCAUCGAAUCUUUGAACGCACAUUGCGCCCCCUGGUAUUCCUAGGGGCAUGCCUGUUCGAGCGUCAUUGAACAAAUCUCAAGCCAAGCUUGGUGUUGGGCAUUCGUCCCCCCCGGAGGACGUGCCUGAAAACCAAUGGUGGUGCCAUCGUGGCCUCAAGCGUAGUUGAAACUCUUGCUUUGGAGGGCUGCUGUCGCACCAGCCAAACACAAAUCUUAAACAGUUUGACCUCGGAUCAGGUAGGGAUACCCGCUGAACUUAA
rnacentral:misc_RNA from 1 species